rnacentral:misc_RNA from 1 species
AAGUCGUAACAAGGUUUCCGUAGGUGAACCUGCGGAAGGAUCAUUACCGUUGGAGCUUGCUCCAUCUGGGAUAGAACCCUUGAUUUUGAGUACCUUUUCGUUUCCUCGACGGGUCCGCCCGCCGGUGGACAACCAAAACUCUUUGUAAUAGCAGUAUCUUCUGAAAUAAACAAAUAGUCAAAACUUUCAACAACGGAUCUCUUGGUUCUG